AUACGUAGGGAGCGAGCGUUGUCCGGAAUUACUGGGUGUAAAGGGUGCGUAGGCGGGACUGCAAGUCAGAUGUGAAAUGCCGGGGCUCAACCCCGGAGCUGCAUUUGAAACUGUGGUUCUUGAGUGAGGUAGAGGUAAGCGGAAUUCCUAGUGUCGCGGGGAAAUGCGUAGAUAUUAGGAGGAACAUCGGUGGCGAAGGCGGCUUACUGGGCCUUUACUGACGCUGAGGCACGAAAGCGUGGGGAGCAAACAGGAUUAGAUACCCUGGUAGUCCACGCUGUAAACGAUGAUGACUAGGUGUGGGGGGACUGACCCCUUCCGUGCCGCAGUUAACACAAUAAGUAAUCCACCUGGGGAGUACGGCCGCAAGGUUGAAACUCAAAUGAAUUGACGGGG
rnacentral:rRNA from 1 species